GAAAGUGUGCGCAUUGCUCCUGGAGGCGACCGUUGGACUGUCGGGUCUACUGCGCUCAUAAGGUGGAAAAAUGUGCACGCACGGAAGACCAGAGCUGUGGAACUAAGUGCAGGAGGAAGACAACGUUCAAGAUGAGACAAUAAGAAAGAGCUUGUCGUGGGGCCUGCGCAGUCUUGGAUGUGC
rnacentral:lncRNA from 1 species